GACAAAUCUAUUGCUCGCCAAGUCCACACAUUACCGUGUGCGGAGGAGGGUGGUGAAAGCGCAAGCU
rfam:Rhodoferax ferrireducens isolate A7 Ga0073115_102, whole genome shotgun sequence.